AGCCUUCACACCACACACCACUCACCUAUUUACCAUUGGACAAGUUACCGCCUCACACCACUCCCCCUCAUUCUGCCAUUAACCAUAACGCGUAACACCACUCACACUCAACAUCACCCUCACCACCACUCACACUAAACAUCCUUAUCAUAUCUCACUCUCAAGAGAAAGACCCUGAUUGAAUGGUAGGUGGCUAAAAAUAGUUAAAUCGACUUCAAAAAAGAUUAAAAUUGGCCAAUUUUAGUCUAAACUUCUGGUACCAUCUUUAUCCCAUAUAAAUUUUAUUGUUACAGUGGUUCAUUGGGUUAAUUCCUAACUACAGGUGUUGUCACUGAGAACUCUAUCUAUCUCUCACUCUCAAUGCAUCUAUACUUCUCUCUAUUUGCUAUGAGUUAAUGCCUUCUAGAUACCGCUUCCUUUUAUUUUGUUUAAACUGAAAGAUGGAAAAUUUGAAGGUGUUUUCCAAUGUAUUUUUAUCUUAGGUACCAUUUCGUAGGGUUUCUACCAUCCCAAGCCAACCACGAGCUCAAAUCGUAUGUGAUAUAUGGGAGUGAAUCCUAACUCUAUGUAUCUCAUCUCUAUGUAUUAUAUCUAUAAUAUAUUAUACAGAUUUUGAAUUUGUAGACAAUUUGGUUGUUAUACAGAUCUAGGGUUUGUUUUUAUGACUAUUUCAAGUGUUGGAGCGGAAAUGAUUAUGUUUCAAACAAAUGGAUCAUGGUGCGAAAUGGGGUAAGUUGAAGCAUUGGGUUUUAUACAUAUUGAAUUCAUUCUUGGUAUAUUUAUGACCCAUUUUGGUUCAAUAUCUACUUAGUUUAUGUAAGUUAACUUCAAGGUUCAUAUUUUGUCUAUUAUUGUUAAAUCGUGAUGACAUCUACUGAUUCUUCUUUUAAUAUCUUCCAGAUAACUGGAUAAGGAAGCUUCAUAUCCUUCUAAUCAUUUUAAUGAUCUUAAAGAGAUGUUUGUUUCAUCUCCUAAGGAAACAUGUGAACUCUCUAAAUAAAUCUUCUACAAAGUUGAAUAGUAAAUGUUCUUGAUUUAUUCUAGAGAUCUUUUUAUCUUUAUACAAUUUAAAUGCCUUGCUAAUGUUACAAAUAUUUUUGUUGUUAUUGGUAUACACUAGACUAAUUGAAAACAAGAAGAGACAGAAGCAAUGCUAGCCAAUAAGUUGGGGACCUCUGGAUGAUGACAAA
rnacentral:lncRNA from 1 species